rnacentral:rRNA from 1 species
AGGAAGAAGAUCUGACGGUACUUGAGGAAUAAGCCACGGCUAAUUCCGUGCCAGCAGCCGCGGUAAUACGGGAGUGGCAAGCGUUAUCCGGAAUUAUUGGGCGUAAAGCGUCCGCAGGCGGCCUUUCAAGUCUGCUGUUAAAACGUGGAGCUUAACUCCAUCAUGGCAGUGGAAACUGUUGGGCUUGAGUGUGGUAGGGGCAAAGGGAAUUCCCGGUGAAGCGGUGAAAUGCGUAGAUAUUGGAAAGAACACCAGUGGCGAAGGCCCUCUACUGGGCCAUAACUGACCCUCAAGGACAAAAGCUA